CAUGAAACUUACAACCAUAUAGUGGAUAUUAAUCAUAUCUUAAUCAGUUCGAUUACUAUUGUUUAUAUUCCAUGUUUAUGUCCAAAAAAUCGAAUGCGAUUCGAUCUUUCUCUGUUUGUGUUGCUAACCAGUUGGAUUUUGUGUUAAUUCAUAAAUUUCAAACUAACCCAUUUCUGGUUAAAAAUAUAAGACCCUUUCAUUAAUUAGAAUGAGAUUGAGAGAUAUGAAUUACGAAUUUACUCAAGACAUGUCAUAAAUGAUAAAAGAAAGAGGGAAAUCAAUUUGUGAGAUAACGAGGCGAGUUGUGAAUUAUUUCAAGACUCAUUGAAAAUUUGAAAAAAAA
rnacentral:lncRNA from 1 species